UCUUUGUUUCCCAUUAGAAAAUCCGAAUAUUCCCAGAGGACCAGAGGACUCCAACGGUUCACUUCCCGGCCACUGCGGCUUCAGAUUCGUUUUGGCGCUCACCCUGACAGUGAUCCUGGAGCUCACGUGAAGCUUCACCUCCUCCUCCUCCUCUUCCUCCUCAGUGUCCUGCUCCUCCCGGCAUUCCUGCCUCCAGCCAUCGGGUCUCCCGCUCUUUUUUUUUUCUAUACUCUCGACAGUCUCGGUCUCUUUCGUGUCUUGGCUUCCUCAGACGAUUGAAUUAAAGGGAAAAAGGAAAACCUC